rnacentral:rRNA from 1 species
GAUGAACGCUAGCGGCAGGCUUAACACAUGCGAGUCGAGGGGCAGCGCGGGUAGCAAUACCUGGCGGCGACCGGCAAACGGGUGCGGAACACGCACAGAACCUACCUUGAUCUGGGGCAUAGCCCGAAGAAAUUCGGAUUAACUCCCCAUAAUAUUAUUGGAUGGCAUCAUUUGGUAAUUAAAAAUUUAUUGGAUCAAGAUGGCUGUGCGUCCCAUUAGCUAGUUGGUAGGGUAACGGCCUACCAAGGCGACGAUGGGUAGCUGGUGUGAGAGCACGACCAGCCACACGGGCACUGAGACACGGGCCCGACUCCUACGGGAGGCAGCAGUGAGGAAUAUUGGUCAAUGGACGCGAGUCUGAACCAGCCAUGCCGCGUGAAGGAUGAAGGCCUUCUGGGUUGUAAACUUCUUUUAUCUGGGAAGAAAACUACGGUUUCUACUGUAGCCGACGGUACCAGAGGAAUAAGCACCGGCUAACUCCGUGCCAGCCGCCGCAGUAAGAC